AUUGAACGCUGGCGGCAGGCCUAACGCAUGCAAGUCGAACGGUAACAGGUUAAGCUGACGAGUGGCGAACGGGUGAGUAAUGCAUCGGAACGUGCCCGGUCGUGGGGGAUAACGCAGCGAAAGCUGCGCUAAUACCGCAUACGAUCUGAGGAUGAAAGCGGGGGACCGUAAGGCCUCGCGCGAUCGGAGCGGCCGAUGUCAGAUUAGGUAGUUGGUGGGGUAAAGGCCUACCAAGCCGACGAUCUGUAGCUGGUCUGAGAGGACGACCAGCCACACUGGGACUGAGACACGGCCCAGACUCCUACGGGAGGCAGCAGUGGGGAAUUUUGGACAAUGGGCGCAAGCCUGAUCCAGCAAUGCCGCGUGCAGGAAGAAGGCCUUCGGGUUGUAAACUGCUUUUGUACGGAGCGAAAAGGCUCUCUCUAAUACAGGGGGUUCAUGACGGUACCGUAAGAAUAAGCACCGGCUAACUACGUGCCAGCCGCCGCCGUAA
rnacentral:rRNA from 1 species